rnacentral:rRNA from 1 species
UACGUAGGUGACAAGCGUUGUCCGGAUUUACUGGGCGUAAAGAGCGCGCAGGCGGUCGUUCAAGUCGAGUGUGAAAGCCCCCGGCUCAACUGGGGAGGGUCAUUCGAUACUGAUCGACUCGAAGGCAGGAGAGGGUAGUGGAAUUCCCGGUGUAGUGGUGAAAUGCGUAGAUAUCGGGAGGAACACCAGUGGCGAAGGCGACUACCUGGCCUGUUCUUGACGCUGAGGCGCGAAAGCUAGGGGAGCAAACAGG